AUGAGCAUGAAGAAGCGUGAGUUUCGCAACUUAAGCCAGGGAAAUCGUACUGUGGCACAUUACGUGGAUGAGUUCAGCAAGUUAGCUCGCUACGCCCUAGAUGAUGUGGCCACAGAUGCCGCGAAGCAGGAGAAGUUUCUUGAGGGGCUGAAUGAUGAGCUGAGUAUGCAGUUGAUGGUUGCAACAUUCGCCAACUACCAGGAGUUGGUAGGCAGGGUUUUCAUGAUUGAAGGCAAGCAGCAGCAGAUUGAGAACCGCAAACGGAAGUAUGGACAGGGGAAGUACAACUCUGGAGCUCAGCAGAAGCCUCGUUUUACCCCGAACUCGAGAGGACAUACCCAUCAUAACCAUGAGGCCACACUCACAAUGGAGGAAGUUCACACAACCACAGUGGCCCUAAGAAUGGAAAUGGGAAUGGGGGAAACAACAGUCAGAACUGUUUCAACCCUGCUACACCCGCCAAGAAGGAUCUAA
rnacentral:rRNA from 1 species